rnacentral:rRNA from 1 species
AUUGAACGCUGGCGGCAGGCUUAACACAUGCAAGUCGAGCGGAGAUGAGGUGCUUGCACCUAAUCUUAGCGGCGGACGGGUGAGUAAUGCUUAGGAAUCUGCCUAUUAGUGGGGGACAACAUUCCGAAAGGAAUGCUAAUACCGCAUACGUCCUACGGGAGAAAACAGGGGAUCUUCGGACCUUGCGCUAAUAGAUGAGCCUAAGUCGGAUUAGCUAGUUGGUGGGGUAAAGGCCUACCAAGGCGACGAUCUGUAGCGGGUCUGAGAGGAUGAUCCGCCACACUGGGACUGAGACACGGCCCAGACUCCUACGGGAGGCAGCAGUGGGGAAUAUUGGACAAUGGGGGAAACCCUGAUCCAGCCAUGCCGCGUGUGUGAAGAAGGCCUUAUGGUUGUAAAGCACUUUAAGCGAGGAGGAGGCUACUGAGACUAAUACUCUUGGAUAGUGGACGUUACUCGCAGAAUAAGCACCGGCUAACUCUGUGCCAGCCGCCGCGGUAA